GGCGGAGGACAGCCGAGCGACCAGAGUGACAGCAAAGGAAAGGCGGAGAGCAGGAGAAAGAAGCGUCUGCGCUGGCAAGCUCUCCCGGCAGCGCCGAGAGCCAGAGCUGCGGUGCUGCUGUGCUGAUGCUCCAUACAUUCGCAGUAACGGGUAGAGCGGAAGGCUCCGUGGCCAGGGAAGAGCGGCACGGACACAUUCCUGCUUGCUCCGUUGCACUGGAAUUGCGAUGGCUGGGUUCGGCCGCUAAAUUGAUGGCGCUACCGGAAGAAAUUUCAGAAAAUUUCUUACGGAUAGGAGGCUCGUGUGAGCGUUUAGCCUGUCCCGUCCUUAAUUCUGAACCCACUGGCUGGUGCAGAAGAACGGUCGUGUGACAAAAACAGCAUGAAAUUUGUCCCUGUGCUGGAUGCGUCCCGUGAAAGGGUGGCUUUUUCAUCGAUCUCUUUGUGAGAGUAUCAAAUCAGGUGGCGGUAAAUACGUAGAAGCAACUAGGCGUACUACGGCGUGUACCGGACAGUGUUGGCGUGCCGCUCUGCUAGCAGCGGAGAGCCAGAUGAGGAUGCCCGUGGUAAGUACUCGUUCUGCCUCCAGCUGAACGGAAAGAUUCUCAUGUUGAGGGUUCUUGGGCUUGUCUGUGUGAUUAGCAUUACUUUUUUUUUUUUUUUUAAUAUGAAACAGGGUCAGAUAAUUGUUGAUGAGUGGGACUUUGCGUACUCCUUUAGGUAGCUUUUCAUACUGAAGCUUAGAUCAGUUACAAAACUUAAUCUUUGUGCAGUUUACGCGUUUUGUAGCAUCUGUGGCAGAAACAACUACAAAGACAUUUAUCCUGUAGGUAAGCUGAAAAUAAAAAUGCGGUUUCUCACCUGAUUUUUCUUUUGGAGGAACGCUCGCCCCCAGCGGCUGGUUUUUUUUGCUAGUGUUGUCAGGGGGAAGGAACGGUGGCGCUUGCCUGGUUUCUUCCCCUAGCCAGGGACCUGAAA